GAAAGGCAAAGGUGGUGGAGUAGCCUUGUACAUCAAUGAUGAAAUUAACUGUAGCGAAAUAAGAAGCGAUGGAAUGGAUAAGACAGAGUCUGUCUGGGCAAAAAUCACACUGGGUAAAAAAGCAACUAGAGCUUCCCCUGAGAUAGUGCUUGGCGUGUGCUACAGACCGCCGGGAUCUGAUUGGGAUAUGGAUAGAGACCUCUUUAAUGUCUUUAAUGAAGUAAACACAAAGGGGAAAUGUGUGAUUAUGGGGGACUUCAACUUCCCGGAUAUAGACUGGAGGACGAGUACUUGCAAGAAUAAUAGGGGUCAGAUUUUUCUGGAUGUGAUAGCGGAUGGAUUUCUUCAUCAAGUAGUUGAAGUACCUACGAGAGGAGAUGCCAUUUUAGAUUUGGUGUUGGUGAGCAGUGAGGACCUCGUAGAAGAAAUGGUGGUAGGGGACAACCUUGGUUCGAGUGAUCAUGAGCUGAUUCAGUUCAAACUAGAUGGAAGGAUAAACAAAUGUAGAUCUGGGAUUAGGGUUUUUGACUUCUCGAGGGCUAAUUUUAAAGAGUUAAGGAAAUUAGUUAGGGAAGUGGAUUGGACGGAGGAAUUAGUGGAUUUAAAUGCGGAGGAGGCCUGGAAUUACUUUAAGUCGCAGCUGCGGAGACUGUCGGAAGCCUGCAUCCCGAGAAAGGGGAAAAAAACCAUGGGCAGGAGUUGUAGGCCAAACUGGAUGAGCAAACAACUCAGAGAGGGGAUUAGACAAAAGCAGAAAGCUUACAGGGAGUGGAAGAAAGGCAGGAUCAGUAAGGAAAGCUACCUUGGUGAGGUCAGAACAUGUAGGGAUAAAGUGAGGAAGGCUAAAAGCCGCAUUGAACUGGACCUUGCAAAGGGAAUCAAAACCAAUAGUAAAAGGUUCUACAGCCACAUAAAUAAGAAGAAAACAAAGAAAGAAGAAGUGGGGCCGCUAUACACUGAGGAUGGAAUGGAGGUUAAGGAUAACCUAGGCAUGGCCCAACAUCUAAA
rnacentral:lncRNA from 1 species